rnacentral:lncRNA from 1 species
GGCAAAGUGGCCUUGAAACAGGGGAAGUGAAGAACUGAAACCAUGAAUGCAAUUAAUCUACCGAACUCCUCUCACUCACCAUCACAUCCCUCACACUGAAGAAAAAAAGAGGUUCAGAACUUUGGCUAGACUCCAUCAUGGAGGAACCCAUCCUUGUGAGCGUGAAGUGGUAUCUCAUUGUGGUUUUGGUUUGCGCUUCCCCAGCAAUUGGAUAUAGUCUCAAACCACCACCAUUGUGUGUGCAAAGCGCCUUAUUCCCAGGAAGCCCAAAGACUGCUCCCGGUCCAGGUCUCUUGUAGUGAGUGGGUCAUAGAGACACACUACAUUUGUGGGAUCAGAUUCAACUGUCAAAGAGGAACCUGCCUGGCUCCAGCAAAACCAAGUACAAAUCGCAGGAUUCCUCUUCGAUGCCUGAGUCCACAGCAUCUGCCGAAUCCUCUCUCUAUGGCUUGCCACUUGGUCCUAAGGGCUUGUUGGCCUUCAUCAGAAGCAGCUUCCAAAUUGCUUCAACCUCAGAGACCAGCAACUCUGGCCUCGUCAGCCUGCCAGAUCCUGUUGUUGCUCACCUAUUUGCAAAGCAAAGAACUUUCAAGAAGGUCAGAGAAUUCCCCGACAUCAGUUUUUGGAUUCCUU